rnacentral:lncRNA from 1 species
ACACAGUCACAAAAACAGAACGAUCACAGUGAGGGAAAAAUACAAAAUGCAGCAUUUUCAUGCUUAGAGAAAGAAAGAGAAAACACAGGCUGACCGUACAUAGCAGGAACUGAUACUUGCUUCUUCCUUAACUAUGAGCCAUUCAUUUACAGCCAUGUGCAAAUGCCUAUGUGCAGAUGUAUGCACCUAUCCUCUUUCACAGAAAAUAUGUGCCUCACUUCUGGAACAUUAUUAGUGAAUUUAGAAUGGGAGAAAGAUGGCAGAUUAUGGUUUGAGGUGGAAAGAUCUGGAGGCACACACACAAAAAAUGAGCAUCCACCCUUCUUCCUUGAGCAACUCCCGGGUUGAAAGGUGCUUCCAGACUCAACUCAGUCAAUGGUCCUUUCUUCCAGUAUUUAAAGGAUGCUACUGCCAGGAUGUGACAAUGUACUUCAAUGGACUUUAUGGGGAACAAGAAGACAUCUUCUCACUAGGGCUACAAAGUGCAUAGAAUGCAUGUUGGAUGCUCUGUUACUGUGAAGGGAGAGUCACCCAGAUAAUAAAGCCAGCAUUGAGGUCAAGAGGAACAGCAUCGAUUGUUAAUAUGCUGUCUGCUUUCAACCCCCAAAGGAUUAUUUUCAGAAUGAAAUGAUCUGUGGUCUUUAAGGGGUGGGGAUGGGAGGAGCUGAAGAACUCUCGAUCCUUCGAAGAGGUCCCAGUGGACUUGAUUUCUCAGUGGAAACAGAGGGAUUUCCUUCUGCAGUGGGAAAGAGACACGAAGUGAUAAACCGAGCACCCUCUUUGAAGAUUUCCCAGUAUAUUUGUCCCUAGAGGAGUGCGCCUCCGGGAGAUUUAUUGUUGGAAGCUUUUAUCCUCAAGCGUAAUUUUUAGAAGCUUGAAGAGCAAAGACUGAGGUUUCCAAACGAAGACACCAUUAUGUCUCAAGACUGGAACAUGGAAACCCUGCCUGAGUUUUCUACCUGCUGGCCUACCUGCAGAUUCAGACACUAGACUGCAACAUCAACUCGUACUUGAAUUUCCAGUCUGCCUGUCUGCCCUACAGAUUUUGGACUUGCCAGCCCCCACAAUUGCAUGAGCAAAUUAAAAAAAAAAAUCUUAUUUCUCUCUC